UGACAAGAAAUAAUUGGCUUGUGAGAAUCAACAUUGAAGCUGGAAAAAUGAUGGCAUCCGAACAAGUAGACACAGCCCUAGUCAAGGCAAUAAACUACACUAAAGACAGAGGAGAAAGACUCAAAGUUGUUCUAACAUGUGAGUACCUAGGGGUGCUGCAUGCCGUUGUGUGGUUUGUGUACUGCAUAGUUGUACUCAGCCAAGGAAGUGGAUGAGGCCACAGCUUUAACAUGGGCUGCUGUCUGCCCAGAAGGAUAAUCUUUUCCUUAUUUUAUAUCUCAUUUCAGGGGUUCUCCAACUUCUGAAAUCCAUCCAGAAACUCCCUGUAUUUGGGUAACAGUAUUAUAACUUUUUGCACCAGGGCUUUUUUGUUUGUUUGUUAAUAUUAAUUGAUUUUUCUUAUGUUCUUUAUGAAAGAAUAACUCAUCCAUUAAUGAAACCAAAUGUGAACUUAGUGCCUUCUGUGUAGAAAAGGCUAGGAAUACAUAUUGUGGGAGAUUCAUUACAUCACUGGCCUUAAUACUACACCUUCUCAUGUUCCCCCUUGGCUGUGUAACUUUCUAGUGUCCAUAUGCUCUCUCUUGGGGUGGCCAGUGUGACUUGCUUUGGCCAAUGGGAUAUUAGCAACCAUGACAUAACCCGAGGCUUAUAAAGUUGCCUGCUCAUUGGGACUUGUUUCACUGUUGCAUCCCAGUUAUUCACAUCACUCCAGCUGACAGCCAACCAACAAACAGCCAGACACGUGAGCCCAACCAAGAUCAGAAGAACUGUCCCACUGAGCAUAGUCUAAAUUGCUAACAUGCAAAUGCAUGGUAAGCGCUACUUGUUUAUGGCAUUGAGGUUUUCUUGGUUAUUUGUUACACAGCUUUAUUGUGGCAGUAGAUAACUGAUACUGAUACACGUGGUGAACAUGACAGAUAAGCUCUCUGUUCUCCCAGGCUUACAUUUUAAUGGGGAAACAAGAUAAUAAAUGAACAAAUAAAGGAACAAAUGAACUAGAAAAAAUAGCUGGGGUAAGUGAUAUCACAGAAUUACAUCAAAACAGGAGAGGGGUGGUAGAAUUAGUUAGGGCCUACACAAUGGCUUUACUUUUGAUGCUGAAGGAUGAUCUUAAUUAGUUUAAGAUCUGAAUGAGAAGAGUCAGCCAGGCAAAGACCAGUGAAAGUAACAAUCUAGACAAAAGGACUAGCUAGUGCCAAGGUCCUAAAAAGGGAAUGAACUUGGAGAAUUCUAGAAACAGAGAAAGCCACUAGGCUUGUGGUGUAGGGAGUGAGGCAAAGAGGAGCAGCACAAGAUCAGAUCAGAAAGGAAGACAGGAUAAGAUCAGAGAAGAAGACAGGCCAGAUUACACAAGGUUUGUAAGCCAAACAAGGAGAUUAGAGUACCCACCAGAGAUGGCCUUUAUGUACACACCAUAGAUGGCCUUUGCAUUCCCACCAGAGAUGGAGUUUGAUGUCUUUUGUCUCAGGCCUGGGUCAGAGCACAAAGCAGCAAUAACAGAGAAGCAAAAGAGACAUUGUUGGAAGAAAACAAUCCCAUUCCUGGCUUCUGUAAAUGGAAUAGGAGGGGACACAGAGGCAGAUUCCUGGGGAUGGAAGAAUGGGAAGGAGGGGAAGAGGGAGGAGAUUCCCCUAGACUGGGCAGCAAAGGGAGGUCAGAAGGUCUGCCCCUCCAGAAGAGGCCAAGGCAGAGCCUUCAGGAGGGACAGGAACUCCUGGGGCACCUGCAAGGACACCUAGGAUACCUUCUCUAGGCACUGCAGCCCUGGCCUUGGCAGGUGUACUUUGUCUAGAAAUUGCAGGGAGCCUCCAUGGUCUCAGUUUCCAAGCACCAUGGAAACUUCCCAAGAUGCCAUUCAUUGUGACUCUGGCUCAGACAAUGGGCAUAUUAGGGAAGCCAAUGUGCACCAUCUUAUUUGAUUGAUAUUAUCCACAGUAACCUCAGCAAUGGCUGGUGUUUCGUGAUUCAGCCUGUGUGGAAUAAGGAAGGGAGAGGCCUUGCCAAAUAUUUCUGUGCCCGAGACCUCCCCUCCUCUGUAGCCAGAGUUGCCAUGACCUUGUAGCUGAGGCUGGGGCUCAGAGCCCCAAUUCUGACUCAAAAGAGUGUCCAGGAACCCAAUGCCAUGAGGCUCAAGGUCAAGUAAUUUGAUUUUUAAGAAAAUUAAGAAAUGUGCCCUCUUCAUCUCAAAAACACUAUGUUGAGUGAAAGAAAUCAGACACUUAAAUGAUAUUCAAGAACAGGAAAAACUCACCUAUGAUGAUAAAAAUCAGAACAAUGGUUUCCUCUGAGGGUUGAGGCAGGGGCCGAGUGACUGGUAGGGGCAUGAGGAAACUUCGGGGGUGAUAGAAAUGUCAUUCUCUUGAGCCACAUGAAGCUUUCAGGUCUUGAGCUAAAUGUCACCACCAAACUGUACACUUAAGAUUUGUCCAUUUCACCGUAUGUAAAUUUUGCUGCUAUAAAGUAUUGACUUGAGUCUCCUGUGGCAAGGAAGGAAGGAAGGAAGGAUGGAAGGAAGGAAGGAAAGAAGGAUGGAAGGAAGGGAGAAACAGAGGAAUGAAGGCAGGAAAGGAGAAGGAAAUAAAGGUGCACGUGUUGCAGAUCCCAGGCUGUCACCCAUUGCACACUUUCCACCUGUUUUUUCCACAAAAUAAGCACCUAGUUUGUGAGAGGUUGUGCCAAGCAUCUAGUCUGUGCCAAGUGGCCAGAGAGAAAAAAUAUGUAAACAAAGGGUAAGCAUACAAAGCUCAGACCUGGGCAGUAUUAGUUCUAUCCAAGGGUGAAGGAGACAAGCUCUCAGAAAGAUUUAAAGGGGAGAGAAAGGGUCAUGAGGGCUGGAGGGAUGGGGAUUCUCUGAGAUCUGAAUUCACCUUGCACUUCUUUUUCUUUUUGAGAAACAGACCACAGCAAGGUAAUCUUACAGCCCAGGACUCAGCUGCUGCAAUCUCUGUGAAAGAUUUCUGCAGAUGCUGUGCUCAGGUCACUGAGUUUCCCAGUUGUCAGUGGUGAACUGGAGCGGAGGCAGAAGGAAACUCUUCAGACACACUGUUCCCUUCAGGAAACAAGGGACAAAAGGGCUGCCCUGAGGAGACUUGGGAAAGUGACAUUUCCUCAGGCUCGAGGACAUCCCGAGGUUCUGCUCAUGAAACAGAGACAACCAUGUGUGGUGCCUGCAUUCUUGGCCUGCGGGGAGUGGAAAGGAGACAAAGAGUAAAACACGGUGGGAAAGAAGAAAAAGAGGUUAAGAAAAGCAAAUGUGCCUACUCCAGGUAAUUUUGACUUAGGGACCCUGAUUAACUUACACACUAAUUAAACCAUUUCCAGAUUUUGUGCAGUCUGAAAGCAGCCCAUUUUCCCCAACACCAGGUCGCUCAAGAUGACCACAGGAAGGUUGUCAUCUUCAUGUCUAAAAGCCAGUUGACACUCAAGGGUGUCAUUUCACUUCAGUGAAAUGAGAAGCUUCACAGAUGUGUAGACUCUGAAAAAUCUAACUGGAAAACAAUACAGGGAAAUAGCAAUACUAGGCAUCAAAGCAGCAAAAAAACUACUCAAUUAUCUGAUAUGGGGAUUAUCAAUGGAAUAAAUGUGGGGUUUGUUGUUUGUUGUUGGGAUUGUUGUGGGUUUUGUUUCAUUUUUUAGGGUCUCACUUUUCUCCACCAAUUAGAUCUGUGCUGUGAGCCACACAGGUUUUGAGUACAUGUUUUGGGACUUUAUAUCGGUCAGACUUUGCCAUGGUAACACUGUGUAACGAGCAGCCCCAAAAAUCUCAGUGGUGGUCAAAAGCAAACCUUUAUUUCUCAUUCAUGGGUUUUCAGUUUGUUCAGGCUAAAAGUAAAAUACACAGAUUCUUCACCUGUCUUUCAUUCCAUGCUGAAGGAGCAAUUGACUGCCUGGGACAUACUUUUCUCAUAACAGAGGCAAGGGUGAAAAACACCAAGUCAUCUUGAUUAUGCAAUCCCAUUUUUAAUGUAAACAAUGUCAUGUCUGCUUCUAUUUCAUUGAGCAAAGCAAGUCAUAUAGGCAAGCCCAACAUCAGUGGGGUGAUAAAGCACACUCUCCAAUGGAAGGAGGAGGGGAGCAUGAUCAUUUGCUGAACAGUAAUGCAAGAUAGCACAAGACUUGUCUGGGGUGAGAGAGAGAUCAAAGCUGUGGAUCCCACCCAGUCUUCAACCAAAGCAAUGUGGCUUUGACCUGU
rnacentral:lncRNA from 1 species